AUUGAACGCUGGCGGCAUGCCUUACACAUGCAAGUCGAACGGCAGCACGGGUGCUUGCACCUGGUGGCGAGUGGCGAACGGGUGAGUAAUACAUCGGAACGUACCUUAUCGUGGGGGAUAACGCAGCGAAAGCUGUGCUAAUACCGCAUACGCCCUGAGGGGGAAAGCGGGGGAUCGAAAGACCUCGCGCGAUUAGAGCGGCCGAUGCCUGAUUAGCUUGUUGGUGGGGUAAAAGCCCACCAAGGCGACGAUCAGUAGCUGGUCUGAGAGGACGAUCAGCCGCACUGGGACUGAGACAAGGCCCAGACUCCUACGGGAGGCAGCAGUGGGGAAUGUUGGACAAUGGGGGCAACCCUGAGACAGCAAUGCCGCGUGAGUGAAGAAGGCCUUCGGGUUGUAAAGCUCUUUUGUCAGGGAAGAAACACCGGCUCUAACACAGUCCGGGAAUGACGGUACCUGAAGAAUAAGCACCGGCUAACUACGUGCCAGCAGCCGCAGUAA
rnacentral:rRNA from 1 species